rnacentral:rRNA from 1 species
CGCGUAGGUGGCGCGGGUAGUCGUCGGUGAAAGUUCAGGGCUCAACCCUGAAUCGGCCGGUGAUACUCCCGUGCUCGAGUGUGGUAGAGGCCAAUGGAAUUCCGGGUGUAGCGGUGGAAUGCGUAGAGAUCCGGAAGAACACCGGUGGCGAAGGCGGUUGGCUGGGCCACAACUGACACUGAUGCGCGACAGCGUGGGGAGCAAACA